rnacentral:rRNA from 1 species
CCUACGGGAGGCAGCAGUAGGGAAUAUUGCUCAAUGGGGGAAACCCUGAAGCAGCAACGCCGCGUGGGGGAUGAAGGUUUUCGGAUUGGAAACUCCUUUUGUUAGAGAAGAUAAUGACGGUAUCUAACGAAUAAGCACCGGCUAACUCCGUGCCAGCAGCCGCGGUAAUACGGAGGGUGCAAGCGUUACUCGGAAUCACUGGGCGUAAAGAGCGCGUAGGCGGGAUAGCAAGUCAGAUGUGAAAUCCUAUGGCUUAACCAUAGAACUGCAUUUGAAACUGUUAGUCUAGAGUAUGGGAGAGGUAGGUGGAAUGCUUGGUGUAGGGGUAAAAUCCGUAGAGAUCAAGAGGAAUACUCAUUGCGAAGGCGACCUGCUAGAACAUAACUGACGCUGAUGCGCGAAAGCGUGGGGAGCAAACAGGAUUAGAUACCCGGGUAGUC